GGGCAUCAAGAAGGCCUUUUCUGAAGUUGCUCUCCAGACGAGAGAAUCCGUCCUUCUCUGUGACUCUCAAUCCUAGUAGGAUAUUGAGGCAAGUAUAGAUCACAUAUGGCUGAAGUAAGCCUUGGUGUGCUUAUGGAUAUUGUGGAUGAGCAAUGGAUGAGAGACACUCUACCUAUUGAUGAUCUUCCAUUGCCACCUGUAUUGGUUGCUCGAACUGAAGAUACGAAAGACUCAAGUAUGUCUUUACAUAUAACGCUUUAUUAAAUUGAUGAUAUUUGGAAAAUAGUUGG